rnacentral:rRNA from 1 species
GAUGAACGCUGGCGGCGUGCCUAAUACAUGCAAGUCGAGCGAACGGACGAGAAGCUUGCUUCUCUGAUGUUAGCGGCGGACGAGUGAGUAACACGUGGAUAACCUACCUAUAAGACUGGGAUAACUUCGGGAAACCGGAGCUAAUUCCGGAUAAUAUUUUGAACCGCAUGGUUCAAAAGUGAAAGACGGUCUUGCUGUCACUUAUAGAUGGAUCCGCGCUGCAUUAGCUAGUUGGUAAGGUAACGGCUUACCAAGGCAACGAUGCAUAGCCGACCUGAGAGGGUGAUCGGCCACACUGGAACUGAGACACGGUCCAGACUCCUACGGGAGGCAGCAGUAGGGAAUCUUCCGCAAUGGGCGAAAGCCUGACGGAGCAACGCCGCGUGAGUGAUGAAGGUCUUCGGAUCGUAAAACUCUGUUAUUAGGGAAGAACAUAUGUGUAAGUAACUGUGCACAUCUUGACGGUACCUAAUCAGAAAGCCACGGCUAACUACGUG